rnacentral:lncRNA from 1 species
GUUAGGCCUUUGCUUCUUUCAUGGGCCUUCAUAAUUAUUGGACGAGCAUUUGGCACUUUGCUUAGGCCCAAAUGCCGGCCCAGAACGAAUCGAGAACAGCAUAAAUGUCAAUGGAGCUUUCUCAAAAAAAAUGUCAAUUGAGCUAAAUUUGUUCUGUUUGCUAAAAUUGUGUUGUCCUCCUCCUUUUUUUCACGCCUUCCUGCUAGAAAAUUAAGGACGUGAAAUUUGGUUGUUAAAAUUCGAAAAUAUUAUCGUUAAAAAGUUGAUCAAUGAACAUGGGUCAUUUAUGUCCUUUCCGUAGUUAAAAAUAUUAAUGAUCACGCCGUCCAAAUAUUUUUACAAACAGGACAAUACGUUCUCUUUAUUCUUUUAAGGAACCUUACCGCUGUAUGCUAUUAUCAAUAACUACCGUCCCCC